rnacentral:rRNA from 1 species
CACGUAGGGUGCGAGCGUUGUCCGGAAUUAUUGGGCGUAAAGAGCUCGUAGGCGGUGUGUCGCGUCGGCCGUGAAAACCUGCAGCUUAACUGUGGGCGUGCGGUCGAUACGGGCAUCACUGGAGUUCGGCAGGGGAGACUGGAAUUCCUGGUGUAGCGGUGAAAUGCGCAGAUAUCAGGAGGAACACCGGUGGCGAAGGCGGGUCUCUGGGCCGAUAUCGAUGCGCUGGAGGAGCGAAAGCGUGGGGAGCAAACAGG